GUGUGCUUAUUUUCCUUUUCGGCUCUGUUUUCAAAUGUCGAGCGAACAGGUUAGCCUCCUCUCGCGAGCUGUAAGAAACGUCAUACUUUAUAUUGAGAAUGUGUCGUCUGGAGACUCGAGGCUUAUUGGGAAUUCGGGCGCCAGAGUGAAAGACUCUACAGGUCCAGCAAUGUCCGGAUGCCGCCUCCAGCGAGUUAUAGGUUUCACGACAGAAGAAUGAUGGCUGUACCUAAAUGCCUGCGAGCAGGCAAUAACUGAGCUCCCCCUUUGAGUUGAAGCUCCCAGAGUUGAGAGACAGCACUACGCGACCGGUUUUUCAAGUCUACUGAAUGCGAGGUUCAAAAGUGGCCACCGAGUGGAUACGCAAAGCUGACUACUGCACCAUACUUUUCAUUGGGUCCGCAAAGCGUUUGGUAAAAUUCCUCCGCAUGUGGUGUGCGACCCCGUGCCCCACGUGGAAUCAUUAUGUGCUGGCGUUCCGUCAAUGUCAUACGUUCGCGCCACCUAUGCGAAACAGGGCUGUAGUGCUGAUGGCAGCAUAAUCCCCACUGAAAGUAUAGGCCACCGAUAUAUGUUCUUAAUACGAUGUGACGCAUGUAUAACGGCCUAUUUCGUGCCGGUCUUGAAGCUUUCAGUAUUAAAGUCUUUUUUUGUUUUUCUCA